AUACGGGGGGUGCAAGCGUUGUUCGGAAUUAUUGGGCGUAAAGCGCGUGUAGGCGGUUUGUUAAGUCUGAUGUGAAAGCCCUGGGCUCAACCCAGGAAGUGCAUUGGAAACUGGCAGACUUGAGUACGGGAGAGGGUAGUGGAAUUCCUGGUGUAGGAGUGAAAUCCGUAGAUAUUAGGAGGAACACCGGUGGCGAAGGCGGCUGCCUGGACCGAUACUGACGCUGAGACGCGAAAGCGUGGGUAGC
rnacentral:rRNA from 1 species